rnacentral:lncRNA from 1 species
AUCACAUUGAGAAUUAGGGUUUCAACAUAUGAAUUUAGAAGGGACACAUUCAGUUUUUAAUAACUUUCCUUCUUUCUGCUGAUUGAAUUGUGAAUAUGAUUUGAAGUCAGAGCAGCCAUUUUACAUCAGGUGGUAUCCUUGAGAAUGGAAGUCAGGCAAGGGCACAGGAUGAGAUAAAAAUAGCUAGACUCUGACUUUGUAGAAUGUGUGCAGCCCUGGGCCACCUAGAUCCUGACUCUUGUAUAAGAGAAAUUAAGCUAUUGUUAAUUUGGGGUUCUUUGUUAUUCAUAGUCAUCCUAAUCUUACCCAAUAUUUGAAGUCAGUCUCUUAGCAAUAUUUGAGCUCAGAAAAGUCAGAAUGGAGGACACCUUUGAAGUGGAGGAUUGGAAGGAUGAGCAGCAAAGAUAAGGUCUAGAAUAGAUGCUGAGAAUUCUAAAUAUAUUCCCAAGGGGUGUGCAAAAGAACCAUAGGCACAUACCACACCAGACUCCUAUAUCACACCAGACUCCUAUACCAAACCAGACUCCUUCCAAAUCCAGGGAAAUCAGUAUCUCAGAGCACAUGUAAACUAUUUUCAAGAAAACUGUCCAAAAGCUUUGUUUCAAAAGAUCGGUUAAGGGCUAGGAUUGUGGGUCAGAGGAAGAGUACCCACCUAGCAUUGCCUGAGGCACUGAGUUUGAUCCUCAGCACCACAUAAAAAUAAAAUAAAGGUAUUAUAUCCACCUAUAACUAAAAAAAAAAUCUAAAACAAAGGUCAUUUAACACAGAGGGGCACUUUUAAUAUGUGCAGGAGAAUAGAAACACUUAUUCUUUCAACUUAUAACAGGGAGCCCAGCUCAGUCAAUACUCUCCUAGGCUAACAUUGUGGUACAAUGUAAAGUAUUAAGUGGCCAACAAC